UUCCGUGGCUCUGGAGCCCGGAAGUAAGUGGAAGGAAACAGCCUCUCCAUAUUGUUAAAAGCGAACUUACCAGUUCACCUGGUUUUUUUGGAGGGUAUGGGACUUGGAAUCAGACAGCAGAUCCAGUUUCAAAUGCUAGUUUCAAUAUUUAGCCUGGUGACUUGUCUACCUUCAGUUUCCUCGUAUUUAAAAGGACAUAGUAAUGUAGUCUGCCUCACAAGAUUGGGUUUAGCAAAAUACAUCCUGGUUAGAUGUGGCCCGAAAGCUUCAAGUGUGCAGCCCCCUGGAAGCCUGGCCCAUACAAGCUUGGUACUCAGCCAGAGGGUAAAAAGCCACAGGGGAGGUGUUAAUGAAGUCAGUUGCAUCUAGUUUCUUCUAGUAACACCAGCACCUAAGGGAUUUGUCA